rnacentral:rRNA from 1 species
AAUUUGUUCGAACGGUGGAACAUGUGGUUUAAUGCGAUAAUCCACGAAAAACCUUACCAAUAUUUAAGAUUAGAAAGUAAAAUAGUAAUUUAUUAUUAUAUAUUUUUAAUUUCGGUACUGCAUGGCUGUCGUCAGUUCGUGUUGUGAAAUGUAAAAUUAAGUUUUAUUUACGAACGCAACCUAAAGUAUAUUUAAAUAAAGGUAAUAACUUUAUAAAGUAAUGUACUAAUAUAAAAUUAAUUUAAUUAAUUUUUAGGUUUUUAGCUGAAGUCAAGUCCUUAUGGUCUAUAUAUAUUGGGCUACACACGUGUUACAAUGGUAAAAACAAAAAGUAACAAUUAUGCAAAUAAGAGUAAAUCUUUAAAAAUUACCUAAGUUCAGAUUAUUUUAUGUAACUCUAAAAUAUGAAGUUGAAAUCGUUAGUAAUUGUAAGUAAUUAUAUUACAAUGAAUUAAAAGUCAAAUUUUGCACACACUGCCCAUCACGCUCGGAAAAUUUUAUAUAAUAGAAGAUAAAAUAAAAUAAAUUUUAAUUUUUUUUAAAAUAUUAGUUUUAUUUAUCGUAAUUUUCUAAAGUAAUCU